AGAGUUUGAUCCUGGCUCAGGAUGAACGCUAGCGGCAGGCCUAACACAUGCAAGUCGAGGGGUAACAGGAGAGCUUGCUCUCGCUGACGACCGGCGCACGGGUGAGUAACGCGUAUGCAACCUACUUUUUACUGGAGAAUAGCUCCGAGAAAUCGGAAUUAAUACUCCAUAAUAUUUUUUAAAGGCAUCUUUAGAAAAUUAAAGCUCCGGCGGUAAAAAAUGGGCAUGCGUGACAUUAGUUUGUUGGUGAGGUAACGGCUCACCAAGACUACGAUGUCUAGGGGGUCUUAAAGGAUGGUCCCCCACACUGGUACUGAGACACGGACCAGACUCCUACGGGAGGCAGCAGUGAGGAAUAUUGGGCAAUGGGCGAAAGCCUGACCCAGCCAUGCCGCGUGCAGGAUGACUGCCCUAUGGGUUGUAAACUGCUUUUAUACGGGAAGAAAAAACUCUACGUGUAGAGAACUGACGGUACCGUAAGAAUAAGGAUCGGCUAACUCCGUGCCAGCAGCCGCGGUAAUACGGAGGAUCCAGGCGUUAUCCGGAUUUAUUAGGUUUAAAGGGUGCGUAGGCGGGGUAAUAAGUCAGUGGUGAAAGUCUGCAGCUUAACUGUAGAAUUGCCAAUGAUACUGUUAUCUUUGAGUGUAGUUGAGGUGGGCGGAAUGUGUCAUGUAGCGGUGAAAUGCUUAGAUAUGACACAGAACACCGAUUGCGUAGGCAGCUCACUAAACUAUUACUGACGCUGAGGCACGAAAGCGUGGGGAGCGAACAGGAUUAGAUACCCUGGUAGCCCACGCUGUAAACGAUGAUUACUCGCUGUGUGCGAUAUAUUGUACGUGACUGAGCGAAAGCAUUAAGUAAUCCACCUGGGGAGUACGUCGGCAACGAUGAAACUCAAAGAAAUUGACGGGGGCCCGCACAAGCGGAGGAACAUGUGGUUUAAUUCGAUGAUACGCGAGGAACCUUACCUGGGCUUAAAUGUAGAGUGACGUAUCUCGAAAGAGAUAUUCCCUUCGGGGCAAUCUACAAGGUGCUGCAUGGUUGUCGUCAGCUCGUGCCGUGAGGUGUCGGGUUAAGUCCCAUAACGAGCGCAACCCUUAUCGUUAGUUGCCAGCGGGUAAUGCCGGGGACUCUAACGAAACUGCCAGUGUAAACUGUGAGGAAGGUGGGGAUGACGUCAAAUCAGCACGGCCCUUAUGUCCAGGGCUACACACGUGUUACAAUGGCCAGUACAAAGGGAUGCUACCUGGCAACAGGAUGCUAAUUUCUAAAGCUGGUCUCAGUUCGGAUCGAAGUCUGCAACUCGACUUCGUGAAGUUGGAUUCGCUAGUAAUCGUAUAUCAGCAAUGAUACGGUGAAUACGUUCCCGGGCCUUGUACACACCGCCCGUCAAGCCAUGGAAGCUGGGGGUACCUAAAGUCUGUAACCGCAAGGAGCGGCCUAGGGUAAAACCAGUGACUAGGGCUAAGUCGUAACAAGGUA
rnacentral:rRNA from 1 species